AAUCUGAUUCUUGUCAUAUGAUAGAAUCAAUUAACUUGAGUCUGUUGUGAAAUCUUAUAGAAAUACCUUUCCAUCAUUCACACUGUCAUGGUUACGGACUUUAAGACUCAGUGUCAUAAUUUACAUAAGACUACUCAUCAACCAAGAUUAAUAGAUUCCAUCUUGAUGUGCAUCUUAUUUCUAUAAUAAAUCUACUACAGUCAACAUACACCUCAAGACUCCGUAUGGCUAGAAGAUCGAGUUAUGGUGUAGUUAAACUAUAGCAACUUCACUGUGAACAGUUGAGAUACCACAGGUCUAAGAACUAGACACACUUCCACAGUAUCGAAUUAGUCACUGACGAGAAGGUAGACAUCUUAGUGACUACUCAUGAUUGAUCACACUCAGUAUCCUUAUUCUCUAACAAACACUUACACUUCACUCCGGUAUCUCCACACCAUAGAUUCAAGAUCCAUCUAUCUUAAGAAAGCAAACGUGCACCAAUCUCUCCGGAUCAAGCAUCGUCCUUGUGAUAAUCCUACAAUCGGAAGU
rnacentral:lncRNA from 1 species